rnacentral:rRNA from 1 species
CGAAAGCCUGACGGAGCAACGCCGCGUGAGGGAAGAAGGUCUUUGGAUUGUAAACCUCUUUUCUCAAGGAAGAAGUCAGUGACGGUACUUGAGGAAUCAGCAUCGGCUAACUCCGUGCCAGCAGCCGCGGUAAUACGGGGGAUGCAAGCGUUAUCCGGAAUUAUUGGGCGUAAAGAGUCCGUAGGUGGUCUCACAAGUCGACUGUCAAAGCCCGCAGCUUAACUGCGGAGAGGCGGUGGAAACUGUGAGACUUGAGUAUGGUAGGGGUAGAGGGAAUUCCCAGUGUAGCGGUGAAAUGCGUAGAUAUUGGGAAGAACACCGGUGGCGAAAGCGCUCUACUGGGCCAUAACUGACGCUGAGGGACGAAAGCUAGGGGAGCG